rnacentral:miRNA from 1 species
GCCCAGCCCCGAGCCGGAGCCGGGGCCCGGGCCCGGGCCGGGGCCGGGGCUGGGGCCGGGGCCGGGGCUGGGCGCGGCC